AGGAGUUUGGAUCCUGGCUCAGAAUCAACGCUGGCGGCGCGCCUAACACAUGCAAGUCGAACGAGAAAGCCCGCAAGGGUGAGUACAGUGGCGUACGGGUGAGUAACACGUGGAUCAUCUACCUUUUAGUGGGGAAUACCACUGGGAAACCGGUGACAAUACCGCAUAAUCUCGAGAGAGGAAAGCCGCAAGGCGCUGAAAGAGGAGUCCGCGGCCGAUUAGCUAGUUGGUAGGGUAAUGGCCUACCAAGGCUUCGAUCGGUAGCCGGCCUGAGAGGGCACACGGCACACUGGCACUGAAACACGGGCCAGACUCCUACGGGAGGCAGCAGUGGGGAAUCUUGCACAAUGGGGGCAACCCUGAUGCAGCGACGCCGCGUGAGCGAUGAAGCCCUUCGGGGUGUAAAGCUCUUUCGGCAGGGAAGAUAAUGACGGUACCUGCAGAAGCAGCUGCGGCUAACUACGUGCCAGCAGCCGCGGUAAUACGUAGGCAGCAAGCGUUGUUCGGAGUUACUGGGCGUAAAGGGUGUGUAGGCGGUUCUCUAAGUUUGGUGUGAAAUCUCCCGGCUUA
rnacentral:rRNA from 1 species